rnacentral:lncRNA from 1 species
UGUGUGUGUUGUGUUAGUGUAUGUAGUGUGUGUUGUGUUAGUGUAUGCAGUGUGUGUGUUGUUAGUGUAUGUAGUGUGUGUGUUGUGUUAGUGUAUGCAGUGUGUGUGUGUUGUGUUAGUGUAUGUAGUGUGUGUGUGUGUGUUUUGUUAGUGUAUGCAGUGUGUGUGUGUGUGUUGUGUUAGUGUAUGUAGAAUGCAGAGUGUGUUUUAGUGUGUAGUGAAUGCAGACUGUCAGUGUAAUGAACGUACUGUGUUUGUUAGUGUGUAGUGAAUGCAGAGUGUGUGUAAAUGUGUAGUGAAUGCAGAGUGUGUGUAAAUGUGUAGUGAAUGCAGAGUGUGUGUUAAUGUGUAGCGAAUGCAGAGUGUGUGUUAAUGUGUAGCGAAUGCAGAGUGUGUGUUAGUGUGUAGUGGAUGCAGUGAGUGUGUUAAUGUGUAGCGAAUGCAGAGUGUGUGUUAAUGUGUAGUGAAUGCAGAGUGUGUGUCAGUGUAGUGAAUGCAGAGUGUGUGUCACUGUAGUGAAUGCAGAGAGUGUGUUAAUGUGUAGUGAAUGCAGAGUGUGUGUCAGUGUAGUGAAUGCAGAGAGUGGGUUAAUGUGUAGUGAAUGCAGAGAGUGUGUUAGUGUAUUGAAUGCAGAGUGUGUGUCAGUGUAUCAAAUGCAGAGAGUGUGUUAGUGUGUAGUGAACACAGAGUAUGUGUUAGUGUAGUGCAGGGGUAGGCAACCUACGGCUUUGCACGGCACUCAAGGCUGCUAGAGCCAAACAGGCUCUGGCCUAUCAGGAGUCCCAGUAAAACUUCAGAUAACUGCUAAUCCGAAAAGGUGGUGAAGGACAAUCCUCAAUUUAUGCAUUGCAGCACAUAGAGGAACUGAUUUCAGAUCACUUCCUCCCAGCACUUGUGAAUAGGAAUCCACACUGUAGUAGAGAAGCUCGCAGUUGCUGUUGCAGCUCCUGUCCUUGGCAUGUACCUGGCCAGCCUGGUCCCCACUGGAACCCACCCACACUGCUAGAUAUACACAGAAAUGCAGAAUAACCCUCCCCUCAUACAAAUAAUACGGACAGCCCACACACAAACAUGCACACAAUCCGCACAAACAAAACACCACUAACAAUCCACAUACAUGCACACAACCCCACAUGCAAUACCCCAAACAGCCCCCACACACCACCAAACACACACUUUGACAUAUCCAUCCACACACACACACAAUUCCACAAGCAGCCCCCAUACACAGCCCACAUUCAUAUGUAUCAUACACAAUACCAUAAACUACUCAUGAACAUAUACAAUAUAAUAGCUCAUAUACGCAGGGCCGUCUUUAACUCGGGGCAAACUGGCUAGCUGCUCCGUGAGCCCCUCUGGCCUCAACUAUUUCUGACCCUCUGGCCGGUAAUCCGCACACUAAGGAGGCCCACCGGGUGGCCCAUGCACAAAGGACCACCCGGUGGGCUUCUGUCAGCAGGGGCCCGGUCGCAUGCUGAGGCGCUUUAACAGUGCAAGCGGGCUCCUUGCUUUUCGGCAGCAGGAUGGGAGGAAGUGACGGCCGCGCAUCACUUCCUCCCACAAAGAGAGGAGCGCGCGGGAAAGAAGAGUAGGCAGGUUGGAGGGGGGCUAGACCCCAACUCCCAACACCUUCAGCCACCAGCAGGAAAGGUAGGAAACUGGAGGGUGGGUUUUAAAGUGUAUGUCUGUGUCAGCAUGUCUGUCAGUGUGUGUGUGUCAUCUGUCUGUGUCAGUAUUUCUUUGUGUCAGUAUAUCUGUGUGUGUGUGUGUGUGUGUCAGCAUGUCUGUGUGUCAGUAUAUCUGUGUGUGUGUCAGUAUGUUUGUAUGUCAGUAUAUCUGUGUGUGUGUGCGCGCAUUUCAGUGUGUGUAUAUAUAUAUAUCUGUGUGUGUGUGUGUGUAUAUGUGCAUACAUCUCAGCAUUCACACACUAACACUACACACAAAUACACCCCUGCAUUCAAAUUUUAACACUACGUACAAACACAUGUCUGUGUUACACACCAAAAUUAUAUGUAAAUACACCCCGGCAUUCAAAAACCAACACCUUACAAAUACAUGCUUGCAAUCACGCCAACACCACAUAAAAACAUAUUCCAUACAAAAACCUGUUUACAUUCAAACACACAAAAACUGCUUAGUGUUAAAUACAGACCUGCAAACAUGGGUAAAUGGUAGAGCCCGGGCUGUCAAUGCAUUUCUGGAGUUGCACGACAGGUGGGGAUCUACCUUUUAAUCACCCGUGCAACAGGGAGACCCCCAAAAAUUCUUGCACCUCUCUACUUUAGGUCCGCCACUGCGUUGAGGUGGAGGACGUGAUUGCAUGCCUGGGCAGAGGGGACAGGGUCCAGGUCGCCCCAAGCAAAUGCUUUGCCCAGGGUUCAGUCACUUUUAAAGAUGGCCCUGCAUAUAGGCAAAAAUACAACGAUACAAAGCAAUUACAGUAAAAAUAACACAAGCAGAAUACGGCAGCAUACACCCCUCGAUUUAAAAAAAAAAAUAGGACCGGUACGCUAUGGGACAUCUCAAUCCUAUAUCGGCACAGUGCUGCUAAAAGGUUGCCUACCCCUGGUGUAGUGAAUGCAGAGUGUAUUGUACAAGUGUAUGCAGUGUGUGAGUUGUGUUAGUGUAUGCAGUGUGUGUUGUGUUAGUGUAUGCCGUGUGUGUGUUGUGAUAGUGUGUGUGCGUUGUGUUAGUGUAUGCAGUGUGUGUGUAAAUGUGCAAUCUGGGGAGGGAGGGGGAGGAGCAUUUUCACAGUAACUUUCUAUUAAAUUCAAUUAAAUGUUUCUCCCCCCUCCCUGCUUCUUACCUGUGUCCAGGGAGGGGGGAGAUUUAUUCCCUGGUGGUCCGGUGGCAUGGGGGGCCCUCCCGACUCCCUGUUCUAAUAACUCUUGCGAGACCCCCGGCCUGUGUGCCGCGCGGAGAGUUGCCAUGGCAACGCUCAGAAAGCCGUGGGUCUCGCGAGAGUUAUUAGAAGAGAGAAGAGAGGAGAACAGGCAGUGUGCUGGGCCUCUCUCUGCGGUAACAGGGAGCCGGUUGGCCUGAGUUGUCAGGCAAGUCCCGCAAAUUGUAAUUAAGAAAAUUACCUAAUUAUGUAAAAUUAUUACAUAAUUA